rnacentral:misc_RNA from 1 species
AGAUGGCAUGCCCAUGGAUGUAGCUCUAUAUUGAAAAGGUAAAUCACGUAAAUAUUAUUAUUUUGUGUGUUGGUUUUAUUUCUUUGUAAUUUACACGUUUCCCUGGUAUACAACAAGUUUUUGUGUUGUGGCAUUCUGCUGAGAACAGCAGGAAAACAGGCAUUUUUUUUCUUGAAGAGAAUGUUGAACAGAAUGUUGAACAGCUGAAGU